rnacentral:SRP_RNA from 1 species
GCCAGGUGUGGUGGCUCAUGCCUGUAAUCCUAGCACUUUGGGAGGCUGAGGAAGGAGGAUCCCUUGAGCCCAGGAGUUCAAGACCAGCCUGGGCAACAUAGGGAGACCCUGUCUCUU